GAUUGAAAGACAAUGAUUUCUUGUACAAUGUUACAUUUUCUUACUCAAUUAGAAGUACAUGUACAUGUAAAAAUGUUGGUCUAGAUAAAGUAGACAACAAUAUGUUGCAAGGAUGUGUUUACAAUCUGAUCAGUUUAGUUUCCACUUCACUGGUUGUUAUGCUUCAUAUUGUACAAGGAAGCUUUUAAAAUGAAUACAUGUAUUCAUACACACGCUCAUAUGCUUGAAAAUUAUUAAACCUAAUUUAAUUCUAGAUAAAAAAAAGAACCAUAAACAUUGCAAAUUCAAGCAGCAGUUAUUUGUUUCAACAUUUGUUUAAAGAGGGAAAGUGUAUUUGAAAAAAAUUAAAAGAAGUGAAGAAAAUGUAGCAUUCUUUCUAACUUUGUAAAGUUAGAGUUAUUCCUCUUGGAUCAUGUGUAAGGGUUAACACUGGUACAGUUCAUGUUCAUGUGCAUGGUGAAUAUGUUUCUGCUUGUGUGCUUGUUUUGCUUUGUUUGUCAGACAAUGUUUUGAUUAAAAUCACCUGACCCUCACAUGUAAAUAUAAUGUACUCCAAUGUCUGAUAAAAUUGUGAUAAUUAUGUCUGCUGCCCGGCAUGACUCAUUCAAUGAUGUUAUUAUCAUUAUUUUGAUAAAAUUUAUAAAAGUACAGAUUUAUAAUAAAAAAAAUUAGGAUUUCGAAAUGGAUCCAAAAGUAAAGUAAUAUUUAAAUGAAAGAUGUAGACAAAAAAAUAUGAAAAAAGAGUACAACAUAUAUGAUUCUACCCCUGAUUAAUAUGAUAUUAUAUCAUAUUAAUCAGGGCAGGAUCCAGAAUUAUGAAAGGGAGAGGGGCAUAUUUACAUAAAACGGAUUAUAUAAAGGUGAUUUAAGUAAGGAGAAAGUUUUCUGGAUGAUGUAAUUUUAUGCUAAAAGCAUAUAAAUUGUGAAUAACAUGAUAAAUUUAUUUAAAAUUGGCGAUUGAAGGGGUGGCAUACUCUCUCUACGUGGCC
rnacentral:lncRNA from 1 species